rnacentral:rRNA from 1 species
GCGCCUAAUACAUGCAAGUCGAACGGAGACUGUAGCAAUACUGUCUUAGUGGCGAACGGGUGAGUAACGCGUUGGUGAUCUGCCUCGAAGUGUGGAAUAACGUUCCGAAAGGAGCACUAAUACCACAUGGUCUUCCAGUUUUUAGAAAACUGGAAGUAAAGGAUUUAUUCGCUUCGAGAGGAGCCUGCGUCCCAUCAGCUAGUUGGUAAGGUAAUGGCUUACCAAGGCAAUGACGGGUAGGGGACCUGAGAGGGUGGCCCCCCACAAUGGAACUGAAACACGGUCCAUACACCUACGGGUGGCAGCAGUAGGGAAUAUUAGUAAUGGGCGAAAGCCUGAACUAGCGACACCGCGUGUGCGAAGAAGGCCUUCGGGUUGUAAAGCACUUUUAGAGAGGAUGAGGAAGGACGGUACUCUCUGAAUAAGUCUCGGCUAACUACGUGCCAGCAGCCGCGGUAACACGUAGGAGGCGAACGUUAUCCGGAUUUACUGGGCGUAAAGCGCGUGUAGGUGGUUCUGUAAGUAGGGCGUGAAAGCUCCUGGCUCAACUGGGAGAGGCCGUUCUAAACUGCAGAGCUAGAGGAUGGUAGAGGAAGGUGGAAUUCCGGGUGUAGCGGUGGAAUGCGCAGAUAUCCGGAGGAACACCCAGUGGCGAAGGCGGCCUUCUGGACCACUCCUGACACUCAGACGCGAAAGCUAGGGUAGCAAACGGGAUUAGAGACCCCGGUAGUCCUAGCCCUAAACGAUGU